rnacentral:lncRNA from 1 species
GAAGUUUUGCGAGGAAAUCAGCCAGCAAGGGAUCGACAUUUCAGGAGAUCGACUUUUUUCUUCCAAGGAAAAGUCGACCCCUCAAGGAGCUAGGCUUUCAGACAUAGGCUUCCAAGGAAUCCUCCAAGUGCACUAGGAGUCGACUUUUUGAAGAUCGACUUUUCUCUUCAAGCAAAAGUCGAACCCACCUUCCAAGAAAAGUCGAACACUACAGGAUGGUAGUAACUCGAAGCACUUCCCAGGGAGGAGGAGCAAAUUCUCAGGAGGCG